rnacentral:lncRNA from 1 species
GCGGAUAAAACGGUCCCAUCAAGACUGAGAAAAAGCACACCAGCUAUUGGCACAGCGUGGGCAGUGGGGCCUACAGGAUGACUGACUUAGUCUACAGAGAUCCCGGCGUACUUAAGCAGAUGAAGACUCUUAAGAUGACAGAAGGUGAUUUUUCUGGUGAUCGAGGACUUCCGGGGUAAUGACAGUGAUGAAAUGCAGGGGACCUGGUUGCCCCCAAGUUUCCUGGCAGUGUGUGAUACUGAGGAGGUGAGCUUGUUUCUGGAGCUGUGCUUUAAGGUAAAGUUGAUCAGCUUAAUCCUCCUGAUCCCUUUCCCAUCGGAUCUGAACACUGGUCUUGGUGGUCGUAAAAGGAGGAAAAGUAAUAGUGAAGCUGGCCUAAAUGUUGUAAUCUGGUAUAUGGCAUGUGGGCUAGUUUCAGACAGGUUUCAGAGAUGGUUGGAUCUCUGAAAUUGUAAAAUGAAGUAUAAUCUUAGGCUAAGGGAAGGAUGCGUGUGAAGCUCUGGAGGUUGGUAUAGUAAUAGCUGACCUAUUACUGCAUUUGGGAGGGAUCUGUCAUAGCUUCCUUGCCUCUUAAUUAAGGGUGGUGUUUUUUUCUUUUAGAUUCAUGUUACAUGUAAAGCUGUCCUCAUUUGUGACUAUGGACCUAUGGAGUUGGGACAAUCUCUAUGGGAAGCAGAAGGCAAGGACCCCGGUCAUUUUAGGUAGAAACAACAGCAUGCUAAUGCAAAAAAUUAUGCAGUGUGCUACUGAACUUCAGAGGUGAUCAAUAAAAGAAGAAUAAAAAGACUAA